GAUGGGAAGGCUGGGAUCCUCCAUGGGGAGCUGCACCUGGAGUCCACACAUGCUGUUCACUGCAGAGCCCCUUUCUGUGGGAGUUCCUCCUCACUCCCAAUGCCGUGAGACUGAAGGAGAAGAAAUGUGACUUGGAUGUCAAACCACAGUGUCUUUGAAUCCUGCAGGAACUGAGUGGCUUCUUGCAGCGAAGUAUGGAAAGCAUUGAACUGCCCGUGGCACUAUGUGGCCGAGAUCCCUGGGCAAACAUACAGGAAGGCAAACGGUGAAGGCAGCAAUGUCUCACCUCAGGGGGCUGGGAAAAGUACGGUGAUAUCUGGGCACAGAGAACCCACAUCAGUUGGACUCUCCUCUGAAGCACAGGUGAAAGAGGAGACCACAUAAGCGUUGUUGGCGGGGAAAUCGGCUCUGAUGAACGAAGAGCUCUGAAUGCCAAGUUUGCUUCUCCUGGAAGGAUGCUUUACCCAGCCACACUCUUACUACUCAUGGGCACAUAAGACUUGAAAAUGCGGAACAGGGGCUUCACCUGGAGUAGCAGAUUCUGAACGCUUGUCCAUGUAGGAUUGACUUGCAGAUGGCUACCCGCUCCUGACUCCAAGCAGCCAUCAUGAGAUCUGCUGUGGGAUUAUAUCAUGGCUACUGGUUUAUGAUGUCCCAGAGCUAAGAAAAGGUAUCCCAGAUAGCUGAAACCAAGCAGACUACUACUUGAACACAAACGAUCCUGCUGAGAGGCUGAGAAUCAGUGCUCAUCAUUUCCCCCUUACUGACACUUGAAUAUAUUUUCCCAGGAGAAAACAUUAAACAAAAAGAGAAAGAGAGAAAGGGAGAGAGAGAGGGAGAGGGAGAGUGACUGAGCUAGCUUUUCAAAGCAUACUUCUCAACCUGCCCACAUCAAAAUAAGAGACAACUGGCCCUUUGAAGUCCAGGACACAGACUCCUCUACCAGCCCAUGUGGAAAUAAAAGAAUCCAGCUUUAUAAAUCACACAGAUUUCUCACCUUGCCCACAUCAAAA